rnacentral:rRNA from 1 species
AUUGAACGCUGGCGGCAUGCCUUACACAUGCAAGUCGAACGGCAGCACGGGAGCAAUCCUGGUGGCGAGUGGCGAACGGGUGAGUAAUGUAUCGGAACGUACCUUUCAGUGGGGGAUGACGUAGCGAAAGUUACGCUAAUACCGCAUAUUCUGUGAGCAGGAAAGCAGGGGAUCGCAAGACCUUGCGCUGAUUGAGCGGCCGAUAUCAGAUUAGCUAGUUGGUGAGGUAAAGGCUCACCAAGGCGACGAUCUGUAGCGGGUCUGAGAGGAUGAUCCGCCACACUGGAACUGAGACACGGUCCAGACUCCUACGGGAGGCAGCAGUGGGGAAUUUUGGACAAUGGGCGCAAGCCUGAUCCAGCAAUGCCGCGUGCAGGAAGAAGGCCUCGGUU